UAGUCCCAAGACGACCAUCCUUCCCUCGUCCUGUAUAUCAUCUUCCAUGCUGGGUGUUGUGUUUUCUGGUUGUUACUAUGUUUCUUCUUCUUUGUUUUUUUCCAGUUGUUGUCU